rnacentral:rRNA from 1 species
GACGAACGCUGGCGGCGUGCUUAACACAUGCAAGUCGUGCGGAAAGGCCCCUUUGGGGGUGCUCGAGCGGCGAACGGGUGAGUAACACGUGAGUAAUCUGCCCUCUACUUCGGGAUAACGCUUCGAAAGGGGUGCUAAUACCGGAUGUUCACGCCUGCCUGCAUGGGGUGGUGUGGAAAGCCUGUCCUUUUGGGGGCGGGUGGUGGGGGAUGAGCUCGCGGUCUAUCAGCUUGUUGGUGGGGUAAUGGCUUACCAAGGCUUUGACGGGUAGCCGGCCUGAGAGGGUGACCGGUCACACUGGGACUGAGACACGGCCCAGACUCCUACGGGAGGCAGCAGUGGGGAAUAUUGGACAAUGGGCGGAAGCCUGAUCCAGCAACGCCGCGUGGGGGAUGACGGCCUUCGGGUUGUAAACCUCUUUCACCAUUGGCGAAGGCCUGCGCGUGUGUGUGGGUUGACGGUAGGUGGGGAAGAAGCACCGGCCAACUACGUGCCAGCAGCCGCAGUAACAC